rnacentral:rRNA from 1 species
AAUGAACGUUGGCGGCAUGGAUUAGGCAUGCAAGUCGCGCGAUAAGAUUCCUUCGGGAAUCCGAAAGCGGCGAAAGGGAGAGUAACGCGUAGAUUAUCUACCCCGAGGACUGGGAUAGCGGCGGGAAACUGCCGGUAAUACCAGAUGAUGUCUCCGGACCAAAGGUGUGAUUCCGCCUUGAGAUGAAUCUGCGUCCUAUUAGCUAGUUGGUGAGGUAACGGCUCACCAAGGCGAAGAUGGGUACCGGGUGUGAGAGCAUGACCCGGCUCACUGGGACUGAGACACUGCCCAGACACCUACGGGUGGCUGCAGUCGAGAAUCUUCGGCAAUGGGCGAAAGCCUGACCGAGCAAUGCCGCGUGCGGGAUGAAGGCCUCGGUUGUAA